UACGUAGGGAGCAAGCGUUGUCCGGAAUCAUUGGGCGUAAAGCGCGCGUAGGCGGCCCGAUAAGUCCGCUGUAAAAGUCAACGGCUCAACUGUUGAAAGCCGGUGGAUACUGUCGGGCUAGAGUACGGAAGAGGCAAGUGGAAUUCCUGGUGUAGCGGUGGAAUGCGCAGAUAUCAGGAAGAACACCUAUGGCGAAGGCAGCUCUCUGGGACGGUACUGACGCUGAGACGCGAAAGCGUGGGGAGCGAACAGG
rnacentral:rRNA from 1 species